rnacentral:rRNA from 1 species
GACGGGGGGAUGCAAGUGUUAUCCGGAAUCACUGGGCGUAAAGCGUCUGCAGGUGGUUUCCUAAGUCCACUGUUAAACCUUGAGGCUCAACCUCAAAUCUGCAUUGGAAACUAGGAGACUUGAGUAUAGUAGGGGUAGAGGGAAUUUCCAGUGGAGCGGUGAAAUGCGUAGAUAUUGGAAAGAACACCGAUGGCGAAGGCACUCUACUGGGCUAUUACUGACACUCAGAGACGAAAAGCUAGGGGAGCAAAUGGG